GGAGAACUCCAAUGGCGUCUGUGUCAGCACGCCCACCGCAGACCACAACAAUGGCUGCCGCCAAUGUCCCAGUCCCUGGAGAGCUCUCACCUCUCACCGAGAUGCACACAGGGCUUAUGAGAAUAUAGUCUGUCUUGGUAAACGUUUCUACUGCACCUGAAAAAAAGUAUAUUCUGCCAUUGAUGGGGAACUGAAAAGGUGUGAGGAGGCCACUCAAGACUGAAACCCACUGUUAAGGAAAGAAAUAACAUUGGACCCUGUGGGCAGAACAGAAGGAGAAAUCUGGAUAAUGGAUGCCAGAAAUAGCCUGACGCCCUCCCUAUUUUUCCAUCCUCCCUGUAUAACUGCCUCAAAAUUUUGUGCUUGCUGAAGAUGGUCUUUGGGACAUGAGUCCACCAUCUUCUGAUUUUGCUAGGUAAUUGAAUAAAUCCCUUUCUCGACCACUGAA